rnacentral:rRNA from 1 species
UUUAUGGAGAGUUUGAUCCUGGCUCAGGAUGAACGCUGGCGGCGUGCCUAAUACAUGCAAGUCGAGCGAACGGACGAGAAGCUUGCUUCUCUGAUGUUAGCGGCGGACGGGUGAGUAACACGUGGAUAACCUACCUAUAAGACUGGGAUAACUUCGGGAAACCGGAGCUAAUACCGGAUAAUAUUUUGAACCGCAUGGUUCAAAAGUGAAAGACGGUCUUGCUGUCACUUAUAGAUGGAUCCGCGCUGCAUUAGCUAGUUGGUAAGGUAACGGCUUACCAAGGCAACGAUGCAUAGCCGACCUGAGAGGGUGAUCGGCCACACUGGAACUGAGACACGGUCCAGACUCCUACGGGAGGCAGCAGUAGGGAAUCUUCCGCAAUGGGCGAAAGCCUGACGGAGCAACGCCGCGUGAGUGAUGAAGGUCUUCGGAUCGUAAAACUCUGUUAUUAGGGAAGAACAUAUGUGUAAGUAACUGUGCACAUCUUGACGGUACCUAAUCAGAAAGCCACGGCUAACUACGUGCCAGCAGCCGCGGUAAUACGUAGGUGGCAAGCGUUAUCCGGAAUUAUUGGGCGUAAAGCGCGCGUAGGCGGUUUUUUAAGUCUGAUGUGAAAGCCCACGGCUCAACCGUGGAGGGUCAUUGGAAACUGGAAAACUUGAGUGCAGAAGAGGAAAGUGGAAUUCCAUGUGUAGCGGUGAAAUGCGCAGAGAUAUGGAGGAACACCAGUGGCGAAGGCGACUUUCUGGUCUGUAACUGACGCUGAUGUGCGAAAGCGUGGGGAUCAAACAGGAUUAGAUACCCUGGUAGUCCACGCCGUAAACGAUGAGUGCUAAGUGUUAGGGGGUUUCCGCCCCUUAGUGCUGCAGCUAACGCAUUAAGCACUCCGCCUGGGGAGUACGACCGCAAGGUUGAAACUCAAAGGAAUUGACGGGGACCCGCACAAGCGGUGGAGCAUGUGGUUUAAUUCGAAGCAACGCGAAGAACCUUACCAAAUCUUGACAUCCUUUGACAACUCUAGAGAUAGAGCUUUCCCCUUCGGGGGACAAAGUGACAGGUGGUGCAUGGUUGUCGUCAGCUCGUGUCGUGAGAUGUUGGGUUAAGUCCCGCAACGAGCGCAACCCUUAAGCUUAGUUGCCAUCAUUAAGUUGGGCACUCUAAGUUGACUGCCGGUGACAAACCGGAGGAAGGUGGGGAUGACGUCAAAUCAUCAUGCCCCUUAUGAUUUGGGCUACACACGUGCUACAAUGGACAAUACAAAGGGCAGCGAAACCGCGAGGUCAAGCAAAUCCCAUAAAGUUGUUCUCAGUUCGGAUUGUAGUCUGAAACUCGACUACAUGAAGCUGGAAUCGCUAGUAAUCGUAGAUCAGCAUGCUACGGUGAAUACGUUCCCGGGUCUUGUACACACCGCCCGUCACACCACGAGAGUUUGUAACACCCGAAGCCGGUGGAGUAACCUUUUAGGAGCUAGCCGUCGAAGGUGGGACAAAUGAUUGGGGUGAAGUCGUAACAAGGUAGCCGUAUCGGAAGGUGCGGCUGGAUCACCUCCUUU